rnacentral:lncRNA from 1 species
GACACACUAUUGUGCCCGUAUAGAGAGGUUGAGGUAGCCCUCGCCCCUUGAGGCAAACAUCUGUAGUUUAAUUCCCUUGUUCAAAGUCUAAAUCUUCAUCUUUGAGACAAGGCCUACUCUGUAACCCAGCCUGGCUUUGAACUCUUGAUCCCCCUGCUCCAGACUCUAAAGUCAUAAGAUGUACACCCUCAUGUCUGGCUUAAUAUCUACAUUUUGAUCCAGAAACGAGCUCAGGGCACUUGCUGGGGCUCUGGGUAGCACAAUGUCAGUGACUUCAGCCUACCCAUGAAGAGUAACACGUGUACAGCUUCCAUGCUGGAGUGACUGGAUCCUCACCUGCCAUGUGCCACCAAUCCCUUUCGCUGAGUGGGCUUAACACCUCUGCAGAGCAGCAAGCCCUAGCCCUGCUUUCUUUCUACUUUGAGUAGCUGAAAUUAAAUUGCACUUCAUUUGCAAUAUUCCUGCAUCUAGCCAUUGCCAGCACAGGCUGGCCCUCCUCCCAAUUAGUUGGAACUGUUAAGGCUUCCCUGCCUGGGAUGUGGUGCCAUUACCUGCCCAUCAAGGGCUCCCUCUUGCUUUCUCUAUGAGUCUCCAGGCAGGUGUUUCUUUAGAAUCUAUCCCCAAGAGCCAGCUGUGAGCAUGACCUCUGACUCCUUACAUGUUCUGAAGCACGUGUAAAGGGAAAAGAAUGUUCCUACAAUAGAGGCUGCCUCGGGGCCCUCUUCAUGGCCCUACAGGGUAUUCUAGAACGCCUCAUAAAAUUAUCUUCUGGGCAGAGACAGAGCACUACCUGGGGCAGUCACGUUUCAUUUUUUUUUUAAAACCAAAAUUCAUAGCUACUGUCCAGAGUAAUAUUUUGAAUUUUUUGACAGCAAGAAACAAACAAGCCAAGAGGAAAGUUCCUCUGGUGAAGUUGCCCUUCAAAUCAUGCCUGGCCUGAACCAUGGGAUCUUUCCUGAGGCCGCAGCAAGAGUGGUUACUCAGUAAUUGCAAGGAGCUUACACUUGGCAUUCUCGUCUCAUCUCUUUUGCUAUACCAGACGCCCAGACAGAAAACAACAUAGAGAAAGGUUUGUUUGGCUUACAAUUCCUGGUAACAGUCCAUCAUCUUGGGGAACUCAAGGCAGGAAUUCAAGUAACUGAUUAUUAUACUGUAUCCACAGGCAAGGACAGAGAGAGAAAAAAUACCCUCUCCCACCAAUUCUGCCUGCUUCUUUCUCUGCUAGCUUUCUUCACAUUCUUUCAGGGUCCAGCCUAGGGAAUAGUGUCAUCCACAGUAGGCUAGAUCAGUUAAUUAUCAAGAGAAGCACCCACAGAUAUUCCCACAGGCCAACCUGGUUCUUGGUUGUGGCAAGUUGAAUCUGCAAAUUAAAAACACAUCAUCACACAUAAUUACAGUUCUCCUUUAUCAGAUACAUACAAAGCAAGAGGAAGGAAACAGAGUCCCUCGUACCAAUAUCUGAUGCAGAAGCGUGAGCAGCUAUGGGGUGUCCUAAAUUCUCGUUCUAGGCUCUCUCUGCUGCAUCCUACUUUCAUUUGAGAGACAGUAGACAAUAUUGAUGAGCUAUGUGGGAAGACAAGUGCUGCCACUGAGCCCAGGCUGGGCAGUGGUGGCACACACCUUUAAUCCCAGCACCUGGGAAGCAGAGGCAGACAGAUCUCUGUGAGUUCAAGGCCAGCCUGGUCUUCAGAGAGAGUUAAUUCUAGGACAGCCAUGGCUACAAAGAAAAACCUUGUCUCAAAAAAAUAGGAGGGGAAAAAAAAGGCAACAUGGAAAAUGUAGGUUCUUUGUGUAAAGACAGGAUGGGAGUUCCAAGCUACCCUGUCUGUGUUUUUAUAAACGUGGUGCUAGUGAUAGAACCCAGGGCCUUGACCAUAGUAGGCAAGGGCUCUAGCACUGAGCUACAUGCCCAGCCCAAACUGACCUAUUGAAAACUACAAGCAGAAGCCUGACCAAGCAUGGCAGCAUGUCCCUCAAAUCCUUGUACCCAUUAGGCUGAGGCAGAAAGACUAUGUUUUCAAGGCCAGUCUGAGCUAUAUAGCAAGACCUGUCUUAAACAACCAAAACAAAAUCAAAACCUAAAAAGGACCCAGAAGCCUGUUUUAAUUUGACAUAUGAAUGAUACUUUUUAUUAAGUAAACUUCUUCAUUCAUACAAAGUAGCGAAUGUCAUUCCCCACUCUUUCUGUUGCUUAGGAAAGUUUGUGAAGUGCCCCUCUUCCACCUCACUCCGAAGUUGUGUGAGGGAAGGCUUCUUUAUGCAGGAAUAAAAACAGGCCUUGUACUGAGUCAGUACCCUUCAGCAGCAGUCACUUGCUUCUUCAAGCUUGCUCCUCCCUUAUUUCAAUUUAUUUGCAGAGAGGGCUCAAAAGUAGUGCCACCCUACUUCUGUCUCCACUUGCCACUUAUUUUGGGAGACCACUACCUCCACCCUGAGGAGCAAAGCCAUCACCUGGUUUGCUGUGUGGCCAAGAAAAUACCACAUUCAAUACCUGCAGAAAGUCUGCUCCCUGGGCAGAGGUGAGGUGUAGAGGCUGGCAGAGCCCACUUUGGGCAGUAACAACCAAUCACUGCCUGGGACCAAAGUAUGAAGGGCUAAGGAGGACAGAAGCCCAUGGGCCAGUUAAGGAAGGAUCUGAAGCAAGAAUGCAGAGUAGACAUUUGUAAGGCAGUCUGAAAUGCCCUGGGAAGGAGCUGAAGACAGGGCUUCCCCACCAGCCCCUCUCCUGUAAGUGUACAGGACAAAGCCUUGUCCUCAGAUUGGGCUUGGAGGUGACCUAUAUGCUGACAGCAGAUGUGGCAGCCAGAAAGGAUGUCUUCUGUUGGGUAUCUGCAGCCCUGAUCAGAGGCGCUCAGAUGUCCCUGCUGCCUGCAGCGUCUCUUCUACUACGCUAGUGUGUACUGUCCUGAACCACAGUGUCCUAAACCCUUAGAUACAAGGACACAGGAUAAAGGCUUGACCCUGCAAGCUCAGUAAUGAGGCUACUGUGAGACCAGAACCAGGCCAGUAGUCUAGGGCU